rnacentral:lncRNA from 1 species
GCUACCUACCCAGAAAAAAGCUGCCUACUCAAAUUCUUUUAUUGUCCUGAUUUGAAGAAGUUUUUUUUUAAUCAAAUAGGCAUGAAGACUAAUAAACAUCUGAUACUUCAAUUUCUUUUUUUGAAAAAAAAAUAAAAAAUGCCUACCUACCUACCCACUGUCUCAACCUUUGGGUAGGGUUUGGGCAAACCAAAAUAUUUUUAAGUGUGGCCCUAUUUUGACAUUUUCACCUACGUUUUUUUAUGAUAAAGACAAUAAUGUCCAUUCUGUGUUUAUUUUGUAGCCGUAUCCUUCUUCAUUAUAUAGGUAUACCAAUUCGAUUUUUAAUCCAUAUGGAAUCAUAGAAAAAUUGGUCUAGAAUGACCUCCAA